rnacentral:lncRNA from 1 species
AUUGGGACCUGGGCUCCAGGUAAGUCCUGUCUGGUGGAUAUUCAAUACUCCCUCAUUCUCUAACUCUCACCUUCUUUCCCCUUCUCCCAAUGUUGUCUUCACAGAUCUCUUUAAUCUUCAGCAUCAGGGGUCUCUUCCAUUUCCUCAGAACAUACCUUCCUCCUCGGAGUGGAUGAAGUCCCAGCUCCAUCAAGUGUUGUACAAGUUCUGCCGCCUCCGGCCUCAGCUGGAUGUGAACACAGAAUCAACCUGUUCUGGCCCCUGCCGAUUCUGCAGCGUGGGGGAGGAUGAGCUCUAGUGCCAUGACGGUGAAACUGAAGUUCUCCAUCUCUCUGCUCUGUGGGCUGCAGCGUGGGUGACACAAUGACCUCAGGCUGUGUGCUUCCAGGUGAGAAAGAAAGCUUUGUGGGAACUUGCAAGCCUAUGUGUCCCAAUGUGGUCUUCCAACCACAGAGAGGUGAGUCUCAUACACAAUGGUCAGUAGAGUUGCCCCAGAAGCUUCUAGCUGCCGCAAACGUAGGCCUAGAGUUCUUUUCUUUUUUUUUUUUUUUUAAGAAGUUGCUUUUUUAUUUUUAAGGAAACUUAAAUAAAGAACUUAGAAAGUGUGUGAAACCA